ACAGGGAUUGCCCUAGUAACGGCGAGUGAAGCGGCAACAGCUCAAAUUUGAAAUCUGGCUCUUUCAGAGUCCGAGUUGUAAUUUGCAGAGGGCGCUUUGGCUUUGGCAGCGGUCCAAGUUCCUUGGAACAGGACGUCACAGAGGGUGAGAAUCCCGUACGUGGUCGCUAGCUAUUGCCGUGUAAAGCCCCUUCGACGAGUCGAGUUGUUUGGGAAUGCAGCUCUAAAUGGGAGGUAAAUUUCUUCUAAAGCUAAAUAUUGGCCAGAGACCGAUAGCGCACAAGUAGAGUGAUCGAAAGAUGAAAAGCACUUUGGAAAGAGAGUCAAACAGCACGUGAAAUUGUUGAAAGGGAAGCGCUUGCAGCCAGACUUGCUUGCAGUUGCUCAUCCGGGCUUUUGCCCGGUGCACUCUUCUGCAGGCAGGCCAGCAUCAGUUUGGGCGGUGGGAUAAAGGUCUCUGACACGUUCCUUCCUUCGGGUUGGCCAUAUAGGGGAGACGUCAUACCACCAGCCUGGACUGAGGUCCGCGCAUCUGCUAGGAUGCUGGCGUAAUGGCUGUAAGCGGCCCGUCUUGAAACACGGACCAAGGAGUCUAACAUCUAUGCGAGUGUUUGGGUGUCAAGCCCGAGCGCGUAAUGAAAGUGAACGGAGGUGGGAACCCGCAAGGGCGCACCAUCGACCGAUCCUGAAGUUUACGGAAGGAUUUGAGUAAGAGCAUGGCUGUUGGGACCCGAAAGAUGGUGAACUAUGCUUGAAUAGGGUGAAGCCAGAGGAAACUCUGGUGGAGGCUCGCAGCGGUUCUGACGUGCAAAUCGAUCGUCAAAUUUGGGCAUAGGGGCGAAAGACUAAUCGAAACUAUCUAGUAGCUGGUUCCUGCC
rnacentral:rRNA from 1 species